CGGGGGGGGCGGCGUGCUUACCAUGCAGUCUGACGGGAAUGUCGGCUUCGGCUGACUAGUACCGUGGCGAACGGGUGAGUAACACGUGGGUAAUCUACCCUUGAGCUCGGGAUAACCUUGCGAAAGCGAGGCUAAUACCGGAUAAGACCACGCCCUGCAUGCAGGGUGCGGUCAAAGGUGGCCUCUUCUUGAAAGCUAUCACUUGAGGAUGAGCCCGCGGCCUAUUAGCUAGUUGGUGGGGUAAUGGCCUACCAAGGCGACGAUGGGUAGCCGGCCUGAGAGGGUGUACGGCCACACUGGCACUGAGACACGGGCCAGACUCCUACGGGAGGCAGCAGUGGGGAAUUUUGCGCAAUGGGGGAAACCCUGACGCAGCAACGCCGCGUGAGUGAUGAAGGCCUUCGGGUUGUAAAGCUCUUUUAGUGGGGAAGAAGCCCUCCCUGGCUAAUAUCCAGGGGGUCUGACGGUACCCACAGAAAAAGUUCCGGCUAACUACGUGCCAGCAGCCGCGGUAAUACGUAGGGAGCAAGCGUUGUUCGGAAUUAUUGGGCGUAAAGAGCGCGUAGGCGGUUUGGUAAGUCUGGUGUGAAAUCCCGGAGCUUAACUCCGGAACUGCAUUGGAUACUGCCAGGCUUGAGUGUGGGAGUGGAGAGUGGAAUUCCCAGUGUAGAGGUGAAAUUCGUAGAUAUUGGGAGGAACACCCGUGGCGAAGGCGGCUCUCUGGACCACAACUGACGCUGAGGCGCGAAAGCUAGGGGAGCAAACGGGAUUAGAUACCCCGGUAGUCCUAGCCGUAAACGAUGGGCACUAGGUGUUGGAGGUAUCGACCCCUCCAGUGCCGCAGCUAACGCAUUAAGUGCCCCGCCUGGGGAGUACGGUCGCAAGACUAAAACUCAAAGGAAUUGACGGGGGCCCGCACAAGCGGUGGAGCAUGUGGUUUAAUUCGACGCAACGCGAAGAACCUUACCUGGGCUUGACAUCCCUUGAAGUGCUGGAAACAGUACCGUCCUUUCGGGGACAGGAGACAGGUGCUGCAUGGCUGUCGUCAGCUCGUGUCGUGAGAUGUUGGGGUUAAGUCCCGCACGAGCGCACCCUUACUCUAGUUGCCAACGGUAAAGCCGGAACUCUAAGAAGAACUGCCGGUGAUAAACCCGGAGGAAGGGUGGAGGAUGAACGUUCAAG
rnacentral:rRNA from 1 species